UGAGGAAUCUUGCGCAAUGGGGGAAACCCUGACGCAGCAACGCCGCGUGAGUGAGGAAGGUCUUCGGGUCGUAAAGCUCUGUCAGGCGGGAAGAAAUGCAUGGUGGUGAACAGCCGCCAUGCUUGACGGUACCGCCAGAGGAAGCACCGGCUAACUCCGUGCCAGCAGCCGCGGUAAUACGGGGGGUGCAAGCGUUGUUCGGAAUCAUUGGGCGUAAAGAGCGUGUAGGCGGCUUGGUAAGUCAGAUGUGAAAGCCCUGGGCUCAAGCCGGGAAGUGCAUUUGAAACUGACAGGGUCGAGUAGGGGAGAGGUAAGUGGAAUUCCUGGGGUAGAGGUGAAAUUCGUAGAUAUCAGGAGGAACACCGGUGGCGAAGGCGACUUACUGGCCCUAUACUGACGCUGAGACGCGAGAG
rnacentral:rRNA from 1 species